rnacentral:pre_miRNA from 1 species
GGAGAGAAACUGCUUUGGAAUGACACGAUCACUCCCGCUGAGCGAGCAGCCAGAGAGCCAUCGGGAAUAUCGUGUCCGUCCAAAGCUCUUUCGGCA